UACAGAGGUCUCAAGCGUUGUUCGGAUUCAUUGGGCGUAAAGAGCGUGUAGGCGGUUAGGUAGGUCCGUUGUGAAAACUCGAGGCUCAACCUCGAGACGCCGAUGGAAACCAUCUGACUAGAGUCCGGAAGAGGAGAGUGGAAUUCCUGGUGUAGCGGUGAAAUGCGCAGAUAUCAGGAAGAACACCCGUGGCGAAAGCGGCUCUCUGGGACGGUACUGACGCUGAGACGCGAAAGCGUGGGGAGCAAACAGG
rnacentral:rRNA from 1 species